UCAGAUCACAGCAAUGGGGCUGGGAAAAGGAGAAAAGGUUUGCCAUACAAGCAUGAGGGUCUACCCAGCUCCCAUGUCAAGAGCCAGGUAUGGAGGGACCUCGCAAGAUUAACAGAGAUAUGGUAACCUUAACUGUACAUGAAGGAUACAGACCUAACUUCAGUGGAGGAAACCUGCCACCUUGUCUGCUGUUUAGCCCUGAUGUUGGCAUCUCCUGGUGCUCUGUCAGGACGAGGGCAACCGGUACAGUUGUAUGUGCCACAAUUUUCUGACUGGCCAUGCUUCACUGGAGUCUGCUUCCUGCGUGGCUCCUGAUACCCAGCCCUUGUGUGACAAACGAGCAUGUCGGACCUUCUAAGUCUCUAUUGCUUUGGAAGAUCACAUCAAAGAGGUUUUACUAAUGAAUAAUGGUUACUGAAGGG
rnacentral:lncRNA from 1 species